AGUUGCUUCAGACCAUCUGGAUGUAUAUGUGCAGGCUUGGUCUCAGAGGCCUGACAGUUAUAAUCUUACCUGCAGUGGUGAAAAACGGAGACGGGAGCAGGAAAGUAAAUAUAUUGAAGAAUUGGCUGAGCUGAUAUCUGCCAAUCUUAGUGAUAUUGACAAUUUCAAUGUCAAACCAGAUAAAUGUGCGAUUUUAAAGGAAACAGUAAGACAGAUACGUCAAAUA
rnacentral:lncRNA from 10 species